GAAAUGCGAUAGGUAGUGUGAAUUGCAGAAUUCUGUGAAUCAUCGAAUCUUUGAACGCACAUUGCGCCUUCUGGUAUUCUGGUAGGCAUAUCUGUUUGAGUAUCAGCAAAAACCUCUCAGCAUAUUAUUGUGUUGGUAAUGGGCGUUGGUGGUGAUCCACCCGCUUUAAACCUGCUGCACGACUGCAAGCUACUGCUAGGUUUCAUGAAGUUGGUGUUUACAUUUUUUCAUAACUUGGCAGUUGGCGAGCGGCGUUAAACCCGAUGUCCCUCCUUAACAAGGGGAACUGAAGUUUGGCCUCAAAUCAGAUAAGGAUACCCGCUGAACUUAA
rnacentral:misc_RNA from 1 species